rnacentral:rRNA from 1 species
AUAUCUCUGUAGAGUCUGCAUAUCAAUAAGCGGAGGAAAAGAAACUAACUAGGAUUCCCUCAGUAACGGGGAGUGAAGCGGGAAGAGCUCAAAUUUGAAAUCUUCAAGGUUCUACCUUGACGAAUUGUAGUUUAAAGAAGUGUUUUCUGUUGGAGUUUUGGUAAAAGUUCUUUGGAAUAGGACAUCAUAGAGGGUGAGAAUCCCGUAUUUGACCAUUACUUUCCAGCGUUGUGAUACACUUUCAAAGAGUCGGAUUGUUUGGGAAUGCAGUCCAAAAUGGGUGGUAAAUUUCAUCUAAAGCUAAAUAUUGGCGAGAGACCGAUAGCGAACAAGUACCGUGAGGGAAAGAUGAAAAGAACUUUGAAAAGAGAGUUAAACAGUACGUGAAAUUGUCAAAAGGGAAGCGUUUGACACCAGUGUUGUUUUUCCAAAAAUCAAUUACGAAUGGCUUGAUUUUGUGUUGUAUUGACCUUAUCAGCUUUCUGCACUUUUUUGGAGUCUUUCUUAAUGCACUUUUCGGUUAACAAGUCAACAUCAAUUUCUUUUGUUGUAAAAGAGUAUUCGGAAGGUGGCUUUCUUUUCGGAGAAAGUGUUUAUAGCCCUAUACUUCUACAAUCGGAGAGAUUGAGGUCUGCAGCGUAGAUCCUUCGGGGUUAGAUACACUUGUGCUAAGUUGUAGCUUUUCAUAGACAACUUGUUGACUAUGUUUAGUCAUGCGGCUUACUCGCUUGUGCUAUUUUACCUACGCUUAGGAUGUUGAAGAUGUAGCACAUCAU